GGCACAUCAAUAUUUAUUGCGGCAGUAUUUGCAACUGUAGUAUAGAAACAACCUAGAUACUUACAUAUGUAAUAAGUGACUAAGGUAUGUUAUAUUUACCUAAUGGAUUGCAGUGCAGCUAUAACAAAAAUGCCAAAGAUCUAUAUGAACUAAUAUUGAAUGAGCCCCAGUGUAUAUUAAGUUUAAAAAAAAAGCGAAUGCAGAAGAAUAUCUAUGGUAUAGAUGAAAGAAAAGGAUGCAAGAAAAUUGACAUGUAUUGUUAGUCAUAUGUAGAAGAGAAAUACAAGAAUGAUGGUCUAAAGGCUGAUGAAAUGGGUUACAAUAGGGAAUACAUGGGAAUGGAGUCCAGAAAUCUGGGGCAUAAGAAUGAUAUAGUAGAGUUAAUGGAGUGGUGACACAGAAAACCUCUUUGCCUAGAUUGACUCUUAGAAACAUGGUAAUGUUUCAGAUAUUCAAAAAAAUAAAUAAAUAACUUAUGUCAACCAAGGUAUGGGGAAAUCCCCAAGGAGUAUGCAAAAUAUAUAACAAAUUAAUGUUACAAGUGAUAGCCCUCAUAACCACAAUAAAGGAGGUGAAAAAUAAAUGAACUGACCUAAGUAAACUUCCUAAAACAGUAUUUUGACAGAAUAUUAUAUGACUAAUAAUAAAAAUAAAUACAUGUAAAUAUUGUACUAUAGUUAGUAAAUUUGCAUCUUACAUGAUGUUAGAAAUUCUGAAAAUACCUUAUAUAUAUAAUAAAAUUGGGCAAAUAAAAUAUAUUGUGGUUAAUGAGGAUCAAAUUUUUCACUGUAAAUGAAAAUUACAAAUCAGGAAAGGAAGAAGGCUAGAAUAAUUUGUCUUGGUUGUAAUAGGAGGCAUCAGUAUGAUUUCAUGAAUAGAUGUAAAAAUGUAUGUGUGCAAGUUUAUUAGUAAUCUAUUGCUGUGUCACGGAUCACCACAAAUUUAAAAUCUUAAAACACCAAAUAUUUAUUAUCUCAAGUUUCUACAGGUCAAGAGUCUAGGCACGGUUUGGCUGGGUGUCUGCAUCAGGGUCUUACCUGGAUACAAUCAUGGUGUUGGCAGGAAACAUUCUCAUAUGGAGGCUUAACUGGAAAAAGAUUACUUUUAGUGCACUUGAAUUGGUGGCAGAAUUUGAAGUUGUGGGACUGACAGCUUCAGGUUUUUGCUAGCUGUUGCCAGUAGUCACCCUCAGCUCCUAGAGGCUGCCUGCAGUUUCUUGCCCUGUGUACUUUCCUUAGACAACAACAUGACAGCUUUUUGUUCAAGGCCAGUAGAAGAGUAAGAGUCUGCAAACAAGAUGAAGCCUUAUAUAAUGUAACAAUCACAAGAAUGAUUUCCCAGCACACUUUCCAUGUUCUGUUAAUUAGAAGCAAUUCACAGAUCAUAUCCACAUUCAAAGAGAAAAAAUAUUUACAAAGGCACAAAUACCGAGAGGUAGGGGUUGGGAGUGGGCCGCCUAUUCUAUUCAUUCACUGCAGUGCAAAUUUAUAUACACAUAUUUCUGAGUAUGUCCACUGAGAAGUUAUAAAGGCAAAAUUAGAAUAAAAAUCACUAAUCUUACAUUAGUAAUAUCCAAAAGAUUUACUUUUCUCUAGAAGCUCAAGAAGCUUAAAAUAAUCUUUGUCUUCUUUGAGAUAUAACUUUUUUAGCAGGCUCUCUUCAGCAUUCCCAUUUUAUGGCGAAUAAUAAUUUAUAAAACACUGCCUUGUCUUAGGUUGUUAUAUUUUAUAUUAAAAAUAACUACAAUGUAUUAGUGUAUGGAUAGCAUUUCACAAAAAUCUAUUUCAUUUAGUUUAAAUGCUUUCAUUUUUAUGGCUAAUAUAAUCCUUUACAUCUAAUUUUUCACUUAUACAUAAACCAGAUUAUUUUACAAGGUUUUUUCUUUUCAUUAAGUUGAAUUGCAUUUAUAUGCAAAUUGUUUUAAAAUCUUAGGAAAUAUAAUUCUUUUAGACAUAUAGGAAUUUGUAAAAACAAUGAAAUAAUGUAGUACAGCAUAGAUCAGGAAUAAAUCCUUCAAGUAUUAAUCAUAAAUGGAUAGAGUGACAGUCAAGGGUUCAUAAAAGGCCAUAGUUAUACCUGACUAUGGAAAAGGUUAAAUGCAAGAGAGAAGAAAAUAGAAGAUAUAUCACAUAAAUGUCAUUUUCAUUAGUAAUAAUAUCAGGGACAGAAACAGCAGAACCAGUGGCAAUGUGACAUUCUAAAUAGCAAAGGUUUUAGAUCUCUAGCAACAUAGUGCCUUGUUGCACACCUGUUAUUUCUUUCUGAGUUCUGAAAUUUCUGUAAGUUGACAUUUUAAAAUUUAUAUUAGAGGAGUUUCCAUGGUGGCAAAGCAGAAACAAAUCUGACUGGUAUCCUGUAGUGAGUUUAAUCCCUGGCCUCACUCAGCCAGGGACCGAACCCACAACCUCAUGGUUCCUAGUUGGAUUCGUUAACCACUGUGCCACGAAGGGAAUUCCUUAAGGGAAAUUUCUAAGGCAAAGUUAGUAUGUGGCUA
rnacentral:lncRNA from 1 species